AAACCUUGUCCAACCGGUUCUCUCAUGUGAAGCUGCAGUGUGUUGCACACGUCAGUUCUAGUUGUAUAAAUGCUGUACAAAACCGAGCAUGUGCACAUGAUUCUUAACAGUUCGCAGAGAUAUGGGCUGGACUUCGCCUCACACGAAGCAAAAGCUAGAAAUCUGACUACGACGGUAUCAACUACAAAACUGUGACAUCAAUCGAGUUUCAGUUAGCAAGGCUUCUACGGACGUAAAAGUUUCAUCAUCAAAACUUCGUGUGCUUCCCGACAUGGAGACCAGUGUGGAGAACGCGAUCAGGAGAUUUUAUCCGGUUCGUGUGGUGGUCGUAUUCCUGUCAUGGACACUGACAUCAUUUGCAUGUCACCAGCUUGCCAAGAUUUACUUCCUCUUGAACGACUCCGAACCUUAUGACGUCAUUGUUGUGUCAUGCACGCAGCUCUUCUUCUGUGCCCUGUGUCUGACAAUCUCAGACCCGACCGGGACUCUUUCCGUCAAUGAUAACGUCAAGUACAAAAGUAUCACAUUAGCUGGUCAUGCGAUAGGAAUGCUAUCGACCAAUUACAGCAUGUCUCUUAUCCACGCCUCCUCGACAUUUGCAGUGAAGAUGUUGCAACCAAUCACAAGCGCCGUUAUCCAGUGGAUGGUAUUCGCUGUCCCUCUCUCAGUAUCGACUGUCAUCAGUCUCCCUAUCAUCGUCACUGGAGCCAUCAUCUUCACCGGGAAUCCAUUGCAAGACGCCAUUUUGUCCCAAGGGUUAAUUUGGGCUCUGAUUUCAAAUAUCGCACUGGUCUUUAGAAACAUUGCUUUGAAGAAACUUUUUGAACAUGGUCAACUGUUGACACAAAGAUCCAAACAUAUAACAUCCAUUUCAAUAUGUACAUUGGUAGUUGGUCUUUCGCUAAAAUUCAAAUUUGGGGAUACUGAACAUUUCUUAGCAAUAUCAUGUGCAGUAUUGUCGGCCAUCGCCAACGUAGUCUAUACCUACUUGUCGGUGUCAAUGGUGCUGAAGUCGGUGUCUGUUAUCACUCACGCUGUCCUCAACAUCAUGAAGAGAGCAUUUGUCGUGGUUUUACUUUGUGUAUUUGCUCAAAAGCAUGUCCUCUUCAGUAACUGGGCUGGUUUGGCUUUGGCUGCAGUGGGAGUAUAUGUUUAUUCAGCUGAGAAGAAGCCUCAGCAGAGCACAUCGAUGGAUGGACGGCCUGUUGGUCAGCACAUACGCAGGACAAGAACCUACAUACUGGCUGGUUUAACUGGACUUAUUAUUCUAUCGUUCACCUUCUCAUCGCGUUCAUCGUUCGAUGAAUGGCCUAUAUUACAGGUUCUUAAAAAGGGCAUUCUAAAUCACAAUGCAACUGUUAUGAAUGACAAAAAAACAAUAGUAAACGACGAGUUUCUGAAAUGGAGAUUGGUAGACCAUCCCACAGACACUAAUCAAAUGUCAUCGUUAAUGACGUCACGUGAUGACGUCAUAAAUGAAGCUCAGCGAAUACAUAUGAACCUUUUCAAGGAUUUGAUUGGUGGGUAUAAACGCGCAAUGUUGUUUGAUGUAGCCGAUUAUGAGAACAAAGGCGACCCGGCUAUAGCUGUGGGCGAGAUCCGUCUCCUAAGGAGACUUGGCAUCCAGCUUGUUUACUAUUGCGUAUCUGCCAAGUGUACGGCAACUGCAAUAGAAACAGCAUUCAAAGAAAGCAAACUUUAUUCCAAGGAUGAUCUAGUGAUUCUGCUACAAGGGGGAGGGAACUUGUUUUCAUACAAGAAAGCUGAAACAUUGAGAGAACGGGUCAUCACUAAAUUCACAAAUCACAAGAUAAUAAUGUUUCCACAAAGCAUUUGGUUUCGUUUUGGAGAGACAAAACUUCAUCAGUAUGCCAGUAUGUAUAACAAGCAUGGCAACCUUACCGUGAUGGUGCGUGACAGACUUUCGUUACAAAGAGCAAAGGGUGUUUUCACGAGAGCAAGUAUAAUCCUGGCACCAGAUAUGGCCUUCCAAAUUGGACCUGUUUCGCGGUUCAGGACACCAUCCUUCGACAUUUUGUGGCUUAGACGCCAGGACAGUGAAACAACCGGAUAUAACCUCCCCGUCUUCCCUGCGAAUGUCUCAGUUCGCGUUUCCGACUGGUUACACUGGUCCACGCCCCGUGAUGAUAGCUCCAUGGAAACUGCCUUUAACAUUGCCACAAACGGCUUGUUGUUCCUUCAGAGAGGUCGUGUGGUAAUCACUGACCGCCUACACGGACACAUCCUGUCCACCCUGCUGGGCAUUCCACACGUGCUUCUGGACAACAACUAUCACAAGGUGUCCAGCUACAGGCAGACCUGGACGAGGGGUGUGGAGUUCGUGAAACUUGCCAAUACAAGCGCCCAAGCUCUUGACAUGGCGAUGGAACUCUUACAGAAAUACAACUCAACACUCCCUGAUAUUGUUGAAUAUAACGUAAAGCAUAACUAAGUUACUCUACCAAUUCUGCCAAAUGGCAGUGAAGUAUGGGGCUUUUACAAAUCACCCAACGUUAUGAAAAUUCACGACAACGAUAUGUUGUUAUUUG
rnacentral:misc_RNA from 1 species